CGGCGUGUUAAGCAAGAUGUGAAAGCCCCGGGCUCAACCUGGGAAUUGCAUUUUGAACUGGCAUGCUAGAGUCCUGAAGAGGGUGGUAGAAUUUCCAGUGUAGCGGUGAAAUGCGUAGAUAUUGGAAGGAAUACCAGUGGCGAAGGCGGCCACCUGGUCAGAGACUGACGCUGAGGUACGAAAGCGUGGGGAGCAAACAGGACUAGAUACCCUGGUAGUCCACGCCGUAAACGAUGUCAACUAGUUGUUCGUGUCAUUAAGACGUGAGUAACGCAGCUAACGCACUAAGUUGACCGCCUGGGGAGUACGGCCGCAAGGUUAAAACUCAAAUGAAUUGACGGGGGCCCGCACAAGCGGUGGAGCAUGUGGUUUAAUUCGAUGCAACGCGAAGAACCUUACCAUCCCUUGACAUCCAGUGAAUUUUCCAGAGAUGGAUUAGUGCCUUCGGGAACACUGAGACAGGUGCUGCAUGGCUGUCGUCAGCUCGUGUUGUGAGAUGUUGGGUUAAGUCCCGCAACGAGCGCAACCCUUAUCCUUAGUUGCCAGCACGUAAUGGUGGGAACUCUGGGGAGACUGCCGGUGAUAAACCGGAGGAAGGUGGGGACGACGUCAAGUCAUCAUGGCCCUUACGGGAUGGGCUACACACGUGCUACAAUGGCGCAUACAAAGGGCAGCAAGCCAGCAAUGGUUAGCGAAUCUCAUAAAGUGCGUCGUAGUCCGGAUUGGAGUCUGCAACUCGACUCCAUGAAGUCGGAAUCGCUAGUAAUCGUGGAUCAGAAUG
rnacentral:rRNA from 1 species